CUUGCUCAUUCUUACAUGUGUGGCUGCUGUGUCACAUUGCAUCAUCAGGUGGCAGAGAGGAGAGAAGCUAAGUCUGUGUCUGUCAGUGUUCUGACCUGUGGACAUCUGAAUGAUGAGUAGCCUAACAUU